rnacentral:rRNA from 1 species
UACAGAGGUGGCAAGCGUUGUUCGGAAUUAUUGGGCGUAAAGAGCUCGUAGGCGGCCUGUCGCGUCGGUUGUGAAAGCCCGGGGCUUAACCCCGGGUCUGCAGUCGAUACGGGCAGGCUAGAGUUCGGUAGGGGAGAUCGGAAUUCCUGGUGUAGCGGUGAAAUGCGCAGAUAUCAGGAGGAACACCGGUGGCGAAGGCGGGUCUCUGGGCAACAACUGACGCUGAGGAGCGAAAGCGUGGGGAGCGAACAGG